GUUUUGUUACACCUUGUAUACUUAUUAGAGAUGUGCCGAUCAUGACUUUGGCUGACAAGCCGACUAGCCGGUUAGUCGGCUGCAAAUAAGCCGACUAAUCGGCCGACUAGUCGGCCAAGCCGAUUAU